CCUGAUGUUCCGUCAUCAGUAGCCUACCGGCACAUGCAGGACUGGUAACGGUCUUGUGUGAAGCUGCCGGAACAAUGAGUUGGGCCCUUUGGGGCCGCGCUGAUGCCGUGAGGCUAAGCGUUACCUNNNNNN
rfam:Nosema bombycis CQ1 unplaced genomic scaffold NBO_403, whole genome shotgun sequence.